rnacentral:rRNA from 1 species
GAUGAACGCUGGCGGCGUGCCUAAUACAUGCAAGUCGAGCGAACAGACGAGGAGCUUGCUCCUCUGACGUUAGCGGCGGACGGGUGAGUAACACGUGGAUAACCUACCUAUAAGACUGGGAUAACUUCGGGAAACCGGAGCUAAUACCGGAUAAUAUAUUGAACCGCAUGGUUCAAUAAUGAAAGACGGUUUUGCUGUUACUUAUAGAUGGAUCCGCGCCGCAUUAGCUAGUUGGUAAGGUAACGGCUUACCAAGGCAACGAUGCGUAGCCGACCUGAGAGGGUGAUCGGCCACACUGGAACUGAGACACGGUCCAGACUCCUACGGGAGGCAGCAGUAGGGAAUCUUCCGCAAUGGGCGAAAGCCUGACGGAGCAACGCCGCGUGAGUGAUGAAGGUCUUCGGAUCGUAAAACUCUGUUAUUAGGGAAGAACAAAUGUGUAAGUAACUAUGCACGUCUUGACGGUACCUAAUCAGAAAGCCACGGCUAACUACGUG